UGCGAAGGCAAGCGGAUCUCUUAAAGCUGUUCUCAGUUCGGACUGCAGUCUGCAACUCGACUGCACGAAGCUGGAACCGCUAGUAAUCGCGGAUCAGCACGCCGCGGUGAAUACGUUCCCGGGCCUUGUACACACCGCCCGUCACACCAUGGAAGCCUGCAAUGCCCGAAGCCGGUGGCCUAACCACUUAUGUGGAAGGAGCCGUCUAAGGCAGGGCAGAUGACUGGGGUGAAGUCGUAACAAGGUAAC
rnacentral:rRNA from 1 species